UACGUAGGGUGCAAGCGUUAAUCGGAAUUACUGGGCGUAAAGCGUGCGCAGGCGGUUUUGUAAGUCAGAUGUGAAAUCCCCGGGCUUAACCUGGGAACUGCGUUUGAAACUACAAGGCUAGAGUGUGGCAGAGGGGGGUGGAAUUCCACGUGUAGCAGUGAAAUGCGUAGAGAUGUGGAGGGACACCGAUGGCGAAGGCAGCCCCCUGGGUUAACACUGACGCUCAGGCACGAAAGCGUGGGGAGCAAACAGG
rnacentral:rRNA from 1 species